rnacentral:rRNA from 1 species
CAAGUCGAACGGUUAACAGGGGCAACUCUGUUAAUAGUGGCGAAAGGGUGAGGAACGCGUGAGUAACCUGCCUUCAAGUCGGGAAUAGCCCCGGGAAACUGGGAUUAACACCGGAUGUGGUUAUAGGAUCGCAUGAUCUUAUUACUAAAAAUUUAUUGCUUGAAGAGGGGCUCGCGUCCCAUUAGCUAGUUGGUGAGGUAACGGCCCACCAAGGCUGUGAUGGGUAGCUGGUCUGAGAGGACGACCAGCCACACUGGGACUGAGACACUGCCCAGACUCCUACGGGAGGCUGCAGUCGAGAAUCUUCCGCAAUGCGCGAAAGCGUGACGGAGCAAUGCCGCGUGCAGGAUGAAGGCCUUCGGGUCGUAAACUGCUGUCAUCAGGGAAGAAAAAAAUGACGGUACCUGAAGAGGAAGUCACGGCUAACUACGUGCCAGCAGCCGCGGUAAUACGUAGGUGACGAGCGUUGUUCGGAUUUACUGGGCGUAAAGGGUCUGUAGGGGGCCGAAUAAGUCUGAUGUGAAAUCCCGGAGCUUAACUCCGGAACUGCAUUGGAAACUGUUUGGCUUGAGCAUCAGAGAGGAGAAUGGAAUUCCAGGUGUAGCGGUGGAAUGCGUAGAU